rnacentral:rRNA from 1 species
GACGAACGCUGGCGGCGUGCUUAACACAUGCAAGUCGAACGGAAAGGCCUGCUUUCCCUUGUGGAUUGCGGGUACUCGAGUGGCGAACGGGUGAGUAACACGUGAGUGAUCUGCCCCCAACUUGGGUAUAAGCCUGGGAAACUGGGUCUAAUUCCCGAUAGGACUGCAGGGUGGUGCCGGUGGUGGAAAACGAUUUUCUAGUGGUUGGGGAUGAGCUCGCGGCCUAUCAGCUUGUUGGUGGGGUAAUGGCCUACCAAGGCGGCGACGGGUAGCCGGCCUGAGAGGGUGGACGGCCACAUUGGGACUGGGAUACGGCCCAGACUCCUACGGGAGGCAGCAGUGGGGAAUAUUGCACAAUGGGCGGAAGCCUGAUGCAGCGACGCCGCGUGGGGGAUGACGGCCUUCGGGUUGUAAACUCCUUUCGACCGCGAGGAAGCCACCUGGUUGGAAGGGUGGUGACGGUAGUGGUAGAAGAAGCACCGGCUAACUACGUG